AUCCAGCUGAUGAGUCUCACAAUAGGACGAAACGCUCGUCAAAUUGGAU
rfam:Schistosoma curassoni strain Dakar, Senegal genome assembly, scaffold: SCTD_scaffold0018430